rnacentral:rRNA from 1 species
GACGAACGCUGGCGGCGUGCUUAACACAUGCAAGUCGAACGGAAAGGCCCUGCUUUUGUGGGGUGCUCGAGUGGCGAACGGGUGAGUAACACGUGAGUAACCUGCCCUUGACUUUGGGAUAACUCCAGGAAACUGGGGCUAAUACCGGAUAUGAGCUCCUGCUGCACGGUGGGGGUUGGAAAGUUUCGGCGGUUGGUGAUGGACUCGCGGCUUAUCAUCUUGUUGGUGGGGUAGUGGCUUACCAAGGCUUUGACGGGUAGCCGGCCUGAGAGGGUGACCGGCCACAUUGGGACUGAGAUACGGCCCAGACUCAUACGGGAGGCAGCAGUGGGGAAUAUUGCACAAUGGGCGGAAGCCUGAUGCAGCAACGCCGCGUGCGGGAUGACGGCCUUCGGGUUGUAAACCGCUUUCGCCUGUGACGAAGCGUGAGUGACGGUAAUGGGUAAAGAAGCACCGGCUAACUACGUG